GGUGAAUGUUAGAUAACAUCCAGCUUUUCUGAUCCUCAGGAACUCUUCAAACUUCCAAUAUUCAUGCUGAGGAUCACACUUGGAGGAGAGGAGCAUUAUAUUAAAAAGAAUGGAUAUAUUUUCUCAUCUUGAAACAUACUUAUGAGCCUCAAGAGGCACAAUAGAAAUUCCCUUGCAGAAAACGACAGAAACGAGGCAGAAUGAGGACUCUCUUCUUCUCUGCAGGGAACAAUGUUCAUGGGCAUGGAGUCACAAAGAGACAUGGACCUGAAGGAAACUGUCACUUGCUUCAGUGGACUAGAGCAUGCGAUGGUCGGGAAAUCAUAGAGAGGCACUCACUCAUGGUUUACUAGGUUGAACUGUAUUUGUAAUGAAAUCAAGAGAAUGCAUAUCACUCAAACUCAAGGAGAAACUAAAUAAGAAUUUCAAAAUAUUAAAACUCAUCGGUCAUGGUCGUGGUCAUGAGUGCUUUGUAACCAGCUUUCUCCUGACCCUGAGAACACUGGCUAAUGACUCUGGAGGAGGACUUCUACAGUAAUCACAGUGAAUUUAUUUCAAACCAGG